rnacentral:rRNA from 1 species
GACGAACGCUGGCGGCGUGCUUAACACAUGCAAGUCGAACGGAAAGGCCCUUCGGGGUGCUCGAGUGGCGAACGGGUGAGUAACACGUGGGUGAUCUGCCCUGCACUUUGGGAUAAGCCUGGGAAACUGGGUCUAAUACCGAAUAGGACCAUGGCAUUCAUGUGCUGUGGUGGAAAGCUUUUGCGGUGUGGGAUGGGCCCGCGGCCUAUCAGCUUGUUGGUGGGGUAAUGGCCUACCAAGGCGACGACGGGUAGCCGGCCUGAGAGGGUGACCGGCCACACUGGGACUGAGAUACGGCCCAGACUCCUACGGGAGGCAGCAGUGGGGAAUAUUGCACAAUGGGCGCAAGCCUGAUGCAGCGACGCCGCGUGAGGGAUGACGGCCUUCGGGUUGUAAACCUCUUUCAGUACCGACGAAGCGCGAGUGACGGUAGGUACAGAAUAAGCACCGGCUAACUACGUGCCAGCCGCCGCAGUAAGAC